rnacentral:rRNA from 1 species
UACAGAGGUCUCAAGCGUUGUUCGGAAUCACUGGGCGUAAAGGGUGCGUAGGUGGCGUGGUAAGUCAGAUGUGAAAGCCCGGGCUCAACCUCGGAAUAGCAUCCGAUACUACCAUGCUAGAGUACUGAAGAGGUGACUAGAAUUCGUCGGAUGUAGCAGUGAAAUGCGUAGAGUAUCGAGAGGAAUACCAACGGCGAAGGCAGGUCACUGGGCGAGUUACUGACACUGGAGGCACGAAGGCCAGGGACGCAAACGGG